rnacentral:rRNA from 1 species
CCUACGGGGGGCAGCAGUGAGGAAUAUUGGUCAAUGGCCGGAAGGCUGAACCAGCCAUGCCGCGUGGGUGAAGGAGUGCUUCGGCAUGUAAAGCCCUAUCGGCAGGGAAGAAGCAAGACGGUACCUGACUAAGAAGCCCCGGCUAACUACGUGCCAGCAGCCGCGGUAAUACGUAGGGGGCGAGCGUUAUCCGGAUUCACUGGGUGUAAAGGGAGCGUAGACGGCCAUGCAAGCCAGGGGUGAAAGCCCGGGGCCCAACCCCGGGACUGCCCUUGGAACUGCAUGGCUGGAGUGCGGGAGGGGCAGGCGGAAUUCCUGGUGUAGCGGUGAAAUGCGUAGAUAUCAGGAGGAACACCGGCGGCGAAGGCGGCCUGCUGGACUGCAACUGACGUUGAGGCCCGAAAGCGUGGGGAGCAAACAGGAUUAGAUACCCUGGUAGUC